rnacentral:rRNA from 1 species
CCCGCUGAACUUAAGCAUAUCAAUAAGCGGAGGAAAAGAAACCAACAGGGAUUGCCCCAGUAACGGCGAGUGAAGCGGCAACAGCUCAAAUUUGAAAUCUGGCCCCCAGGGUCCGAGUUGUAAUUUGCAGAGGAUGCUUUUGGCGAGGUGCCUUCCGAGUUCCCUGGAACGGGACGCCAUAGAGGGUGAGAGCCCCGUCUGGUCGGACACCGAGCCUCUGUAAAGCUCCUUCGACGAGUCGAGUAGUUUGGGAAUGUUGCUCAAAAUGGGAGGUAUAUGUCUUCUAAAGCUAAAUAUUGGCCAGAGACCGAUAGCGCACAAGUAGAGUGAUCGAAAGAUGAAAAGCACUUUGAAAAGAGGGUUAAAAAGUACGUGAAAUUGUUGAAAGGGAAGCGCCUAUGACCAGACUUGGGCCCGGUGAAUCAUCCAGCGUUCUCGCUGGUGCACUUUGCCGGGCACAGGCCAGCAUCAGUUUGGCCCGGGGGAGAAAGGCUUUGGGAACGUAGCUCCUCGGAGUGUUAUAGCCCUUUGCACAAUACCCUGGGCCGGACUGAGGACCGCGCAUCUGCAAGGAUGCUGGCGUAAUGGUCAUCAGCGACCCGUCUUGAAACACGG